CUUAGUCCCUGAAGAAAAGCAUCAAAUGGGAGGUUAAAACACAAACCAAUGCUCCAAAUGUAAGCAGGUGCCUUCUUACUAUAGCGACUAACAGUAGAAGAACCAAACCCCAUGACCACCCUCUCAAUCACCUUCAUCAUCAAUCCCACAAACUACAUUUUACAACUUUCAACAAAAAUCUCCAAAAAAUGGUAUUUGCAAGGCUAAGACAAUGAAGCAAGGGAACUGCUCUCACCUUUCUAGAAGAACAGAGGAACGUCUUCUAGGGACGAGACAUAGGCAACGGACGUGUUAAGAAGGUUGGCUCUCAGAUCCAGAGACACCUUGUGCUUGGAGCCCAGCAGAGCCUGAAGCAUAGCGUCGGCCGACAUGCGC